rnacentral:rRNA from 1 species
UACGUAGGGGGCAAGCGUUGUCCGGAUUUAUUGGGCGUAAAGAGCUCGUAGGCGGUUUGGUAAGUCUGGUGUGAAAUCUCCACGCUCAACGUGGAGGGGCCACCCGAUACUGCCAUGACUGGAGUCCGGUAGAGGAGUGUGGAAUUCCCGGUGUAGCGGUGAAAUGCGUAGGUAUCAGGAGGAACACCUGUGGCGAAAGCGGCGCACUGGACCACAACUGACGCUGAGGCGCGAAAGCUAGGGGAGCAAACAGG